UGGCGGGUCGUCUAAUUGGCUAGGACACCAGGUUUUGAUCCUGGGAAUUGGGGUUCGAUUCCCUGCCCGCCAG
rnacentral:tRNA from 1 species